CAGAAUCCGAAGCAAGGAAGGGCGAGUUGCCAAAAAUCUGCCACGUGGGAGGGGCAAAUCGCACUUGGAAAACUGCGGCAUCUGCGUUCUUCUUGUUACAUCCAGCUGCGUGUUCCUUUUAAAAAGCCGGGACAAGACUUCCCACAGACUUCUACUUUUUAAGCACUGUGGAGGACUGAUUUUGGAGAAAGGGAAACUGCAUGAGUGAUGCUAUGUCCUCUGUACCUCAUUAGGAGACACAUGAUUUCCUCAAGAAUGAAACCCAAACACAGAAGUCCCACCAUGAUGAGAGAUCACUUCUGGCUACCUUCCUCUGCCCACACUGAUCGUCUUGUGAUGCUGUGCUCCUCUUGCUCGGCAAAGAGGUGGGGGAAGAGCUUCCCUCAAAGUAGUCGUCUUUGACGUGCUCCCCAACAAAUACUCUCCAUUUUGUUUCUGUUUUCCUCCUGAUAGACACUUACUAUUUCAUCACUUAUGCAGAGGACACACUGCCAAGACCCUGAGAC